UUCUUCAUACAAUAACAAUCCCUAUCUUUCUUCUUCUUAGACAAGUAGGCUGAGCCUCAAAUACUGCAAUCAACAACGCUAAAAAUGCCUAAGAUUCAACACCCCUCAAAGUAGUAUUGGAGCUGCCAUUUCGAACAUCCAGCUUAUAGCCAGCACCAUAGGUGGCAUCAACAACACCAGUCAGUGCCUGGCACGCCAUUGCCAUUCCCUUCUACUCUAUCCACUUUAUGGGGAUGGUGGUUUCCUUUCACUCCUCUAAAACCAGGAGGUCCACAUGCAGUUUGAACAUGCUUUAGAUUUGGAUCUUUCCGAGGUCGGCCAAGUCCCUACUUCACUGGUAGGACUGAAGGAGGCACCAACAUUGUCGCCUUGGAUAACUUGAUUCACUUUCAGAAAUUACCAUUUACAAUAUUGAAGCAAUUCUUUUGGUAGAAACUGGUUUUAGGCACGUGUAAGUAAUGUGCAAGGCACGUGUUGUAACUGUAGUGAAGCAUUCAAUAGUAUUGAUAUUGUGAGUGAUUUGUGUAUGAUAUUAAUAUUUGUAAAAUCUUACUAAAAGAAAAUUUGGGAAUUUAGUAGAAUGAAUUGUAUAGGCUUCAUAGCUAUAAAUACGGGAGGGUAGGUCCAUUUUUUCAGGCACAAAUUAGUGAGAAAAUGGGAGGGAGAGGCACCCUCUGGGAAACUGACCAAACAUAUACACAAAACCACAAAAAUACAGCAAUUGCAAUCUGAUUAUUAUCAGAUAAUUAAAGCCUUUACCUUUGAAGAGUGUAUAAGAGAUCACGUAGAGAUUAUUAUACACAACAAAGCUUGAUUAGAGUGAGAGUAAUUUUAAGAAGGUACAGGGAAAGAGUGAGAACUAAUGGCAAGAGUUUCCAGAGGAUAGAAGGGCAUUAAAGAUAUUUUCACAAUUAUGAAUAAAGUUAACGAUGCAAUUGCUACAUGUCAAACUUUGAGUGAUUAAGUGACGAGGGCGUAAACAAACUAAUGAUAUUUUCUCAAUUAUGAGCAAAGUUAAGGAUGCUACUGCUAUAUGACAAAAUAUCUGUGGUAAAGUGACCAGAAAGUUAACAGGAAUUAAACUAAGAAUAUGAUAUCACUUUUUUUCUCAAUUAUGGGCGAAGUUAAUGGCGCUCUAUCUUCUUCUUAGAUAAAUAGGCGAAGACUCAAAUGCUGAAAUCACCAAUGCUAAAAAAGCCUAAAUAUCAAUCAACAUGCAGCAAAAAAUUCUAACUAAAAAUGCCAAAAUUUUUCAUCAACAUUUGAUGAUCUCCCCAGAAACUGCACCAAGAAAUGGUAGUAUAUCUUAUUAACAGGAAAAAGGAAUACCUCACAAGAACAAAGCACUGAUUUUUUACAAUAUUGAAGAAAUUCUUUUAGUAGAAAAAAGCAAUAAAAUAAACAUGUGAAAAGGAUAAAAUUGCAUAUAAGAUGAAGCUGAAGAGAAAUUAAUAACCAAUUAAAAAUGAGAGGUGAGAAUUAUUUCAAGACUUUACCUUGCGAAGAGUAUACUAGAUUGGACAGAAAUAUUAUUUUGAUAAAGCUUAAGUAGAGGGAGAGAGUAAAUUUAAGAAACUUGGAAUAGAGGGCUACAGAGUGUAGAUAGAUAGAGAGAGAGAGAGAGAGAGAGAGAGAGAGAGAGAGAGAGAGAGUUUCUGGAGGUUAGAAAGGAAUUAAUGAUAAUUUCUCAAUUAUGGCUGAAGUUAACGAUGCUAUUACUACGUGUCAAAAUUUCAAUGAUAAAGCAACCAGGCAGUGAACAUGAAUUAAUGCCAUUUACUCAACUGUGGGCAAAGCAAACAAUGCUAUUGCUACAUGUCAAAAUUUUCUCAUGAUUAAGUCGCCAAAAAUGUUAGUACCAAAUCCUGGAGUGCCCAGCACAUUGAGAUGCACAUGCCUUUGCUAGACAUCUCCACCAAUUCCAUAACUCUUGAUGCUUCUUUCUUUUCAUUUUUUCGAACAUUUUCAAGUUACUGGUGUAAAUUGUUUUCCAACUGGGAAAAUGCGAAAAAUAGAUGACAUCCACAAUUACUCAAAGACCUUUUGCUUUCGAUUAAUAUGCAAAAAAAAAAAAAAAAAAAAAAAAAAAAACUUCAUAUUCCUAAAAAUGUAAAUUUAUCUGUGUUACUAAAUAUGACACCAAAAACAAAUGAGUUAUCCAGUAGGCCCUUUGAGUAACGUUUCAAGUGGAAAAGAGCCACCAAUUUAGGCCCUUCUACUGCCCAUAGAACACUUGAAUAGAAUCCAAACUGUAACACAAAGCAUAUUAUACAAAAUUCAAUCCCAUCAUGGGUACAGUCUUACAUUCAGGACCAUAAAAUUCACCGGGGUCAAACAAACUAACGUUCAACGCGAACAAAAUGGAGCUUUUAAUGAAACAAGCACGGAGAAUACAUAAACCGAUACACAGACACAAUGAUAUAUGCAUAUGCACACAGGCACACUGUCACGCACAGAUAAGGGAGCUCUUUCUUGUACCUGACCAUCCCAUAAAGAAUGUAUUGGCCUUCUUCUGUCAUUAUGAUCCAGUAAUUUCUGCAGUUCAAUAAUGAAAUUAUGGUUAUUUAAACAUAUAUUUUCUGUCACUAGCUUUAGACCAACUAAAUGCUGAGUUUGCUCUAUCCUUUUCGAAUUUUUCAAAGCUAGCAGUUACUAAAAUUUUUCUAAAAUAUGUCAAAAAAAUAGGAAACCAUUUAGGGGAAACAGUUUAUAGAAAAAUUGCCUGCAUAAUGUUCUCAGUGUAUUUACCAGAACUGACAGAAUUGUGUGUGUGUGUGUGUGUGUGUGUGUAUUGUAUCAUUGAUUAUCUAACUUUCUCAAAUAUUUAUCAAACAACUUUCUGAAGGUAUCUAAUUGUGCAAAAUUCCCAAAGAAAAAUAGAGAAUAAUAAUUAGCAAUCAGGCACAGAAACACUAUUAUCAAUAAACUGAAGUUUUAAUUUUUAUACUCUCAUCAUUCUAUUUGAAAAUUCAAAAAACAUAAAGAAAAAUCCCAGAAUUUUGUAGGGCCCCCUUCCCUCCGCAUCCCACCCAUCAGGGCUCCAGCAGAUUAUAGCUCAACAAAAUAAUUCGCGGCAAAAAAAGUCAUUACUGACGUCGAAAAUAAGUGGGAAGUUAAAACACCAAUAUACAAUUGCGAAUGCUUCGAUUAUUACCAUUUUGAGUAGGCCAGCAACGCGGGUUCCUUUCAUCACAUGCCAUUCCACCAUGCUUUAGCACUCAAGUAUUGGCAAACAACAAUACAAAUACUGGAUUUGGGACUGAAUUAAUAGGUAAGAAUAGAAAAUUGUUUACCGUUUUAAUGAAUUCAAAUUGAAUAAAAUAAUGUUAUUUGUACUAGUUCAUUUUAG
rnacentral:lncRNA from 1 species